rnacentral:rRNA from 1 species
CACGUAGGGGGCGAGCGUUGUCCGGAUUUAUUGGGCGUAAAGAGCUCGUAGGCGGCUCGGUAAGUCAGGUGUGAAAACUCUAGGCUCAACCUAGAGACGCCACCUGAUACUGCCGUGGCUAGAGUCCGGUAGGGGAGCAUGGAAUUCCUGGUGUAGCGGUGAAAUGCGCAGAUAUCAGGAGGAACACCAGUGGCGAAGGCGGUGCUCUGGGCCGGAACUGACGCUGAGACGCGAAAGCGUGGGGAGCAAACAGG